rnacentral:rRNA from 1 species
UACGAAGGGUGCAAGCGUUACUCGGAAUUACUGGGCGUAAAGCGUGCGUAGGCGGUUUGUUAAGUCUGUCGUGAAAGCCCCGGGCUCAACCUGGGAAUGGCGAUGGAAACUGGCGAGCUAGAGUACGGUAGAGGAGAGUGGAAUUCCCGGUGUAGCAGUGAAAUGCGUAGAUAUUGGGAAGAACACCGGUGGCGUAAGCGGCUUGGUGGGCUUUAACUGACACUGAGGAACGAAAGCUAGGGGAGCGAAUGGG